rnacentral:rRNA from 1 species
GAUGAACGCUGGCGGCGUGCCUAAUACAUGCAAGUCGAGCGAACGGACGAGAAGCAUGCUUCUCUGAUGUUAGCGGCGGACGGGUGCGUAACACGUGGAUAACCUAACUAUAAGACUGGGAUAACUUCGGCAAACCGUAGCUAAUACCGGAUAAUAUUUUGCACCGCGUGGUUCAAAAGUGGAAGACGGUAUUGCUGACACUUAUAGAUGGAUCCGCGCUGCAUUCGCUAGUUGGUAAGGUAAAGGCUUACCAAGGCAACGAGGCAUAGCCGACCCGAGGGGGUGAUCGGCCACACGGGAAGUGAGACACGUCACAGACUCCUGCGGGGGGCAGCAGCAGGGAAUCCUCCGCGAUGCGCCAAUGCCGAACGGUGCACAGUCGCGGGAGUGAUGAUGGUCUUCGGAUCGUUAAACUCUGUUAUUAGUGAAGUUCAAAUGUGUAAGUACCUGUGCACAUCUUGACGGUACCUAAUCAGAAAGCUACGGCUAACUACGUG